UUAUCCCAUUUUGGGGGCAAAAAUUCUCCAUUUUGGGGUCAGAAAUGCCAUUUUUGGUUUAAAAAUUGCCAUUUUUGGGAACUGGAAUCCCAUUUUGGGUCCAAAAAUGUCAUUUUUGGGUCAUUUGUUCCCAUUUUAUCCCAUUUUGGGGCAAAAGUCUCCAUUUUUGGGGUCAGAAAUGCCAUUUUUGCGUCCAAAAUUGCCAUUUUUGGGGACUGGAAUCCCAUUUUGGGUCCAAAAAUUCCAUUUUUGGGUCAUUUGUUCCCAUUUUAUCCCAUUUUGGGGUUAAAAGUCUCCAUUUUGGGGUCAGAAAUGCCAUUUUUGGUUCCAAAAUUGCCAUUUUUGGGAACUGGAAUCCCAUUUUGGGUCCAAAAAUGCCAUUUUUGGGUCAUUUGUUCCCAUUUUAUGCCAUUUUUGGGUAAAAGUCUCCAUUUUUGGGGUCAGAAAUGCCAUUUUUGGGUCCAAAAUUGUCAUUUUUGGGAACUGGAAUCCCAUUUUGGGGCCAAAAAUGCCAUUUUUGGGUCAUUUGUUCCCAUUUUAUCCCAUUUUGGGGCAAAAAUUCUCCAUUUUGGGGUCAGAAAUGCAAUUUUUGGGUCAAAAGUUGCCAUUUUUGGGAGCUGGAAUCCCAUUUUGGGUCCGAAAAUGCCAUUUUUGGGUCUUUUUAUCCCAUUUUAUCCCAUUUUGGGGGAAAAGUCUACAUUUUGGGGUCAGAAAUGCCAUUUUUGGGUCCAAAAUUGCCAUUUUUGGGAACUGGAAUCCCAUUUUGGGGCCAAAAAUGCCAUUUUUGGGUCAUUUGUUCCCAUUUUUGGAGUACAGAAUUCCAUUUUUGGGUCAGAAAUGCCAUUUUUGGGUCCAAAAUUGCCAUUUUUGGGAGCUGCAAUCCCAUUUUGGGUCCAAAAAUGCCAUUUUUGGGUCAUUUGUUCCCAUUUUAUCCCAUUUUGGGGCAAAAAUUCACCAUUUUGGGGUCAGAAAUGCCAUUUUUGGGUCCAAAAUUGCCAUUUUUGGGUAAUUUGUUCCCUUUUUAUCUCGUUUUUGGGGGAAAAGUCUCCAUUUUGGGGUCAGAAAUACCAUUUUUGUUUCAAAAAUUGCCAUUUUUGGGAACUGGAAUCCCAUUUUGGGUCCAAAAAUUCCAUUUUUGGGUCAUUUGUUCCCAUUUUAUCCCAUUUUUGGGGAAAAAUUCACCAUUUUGGGGUCAGAAAUGCCAUUUUUGGGUCCAAAAUUGCCAUUUUUGGGAGCUGGAAUCCCAUUUUGGGGUCAGAAAUGCCAUUUUUGGGGUCAUUUCAUCCCAUUUUAUCCCAUUUUGGGGUAAAACUCCGCGUUUUUGGGGUCAGAAAUGCCAUUUUUGGGUCAAAAAUUGCCAUUUUUUGGAACUGCAAUCCCAUUUUGGGGUCAGAAAUGCCAUUUUUGGCUCAUUUGUUCCCAUUUUUUGAUCGAUCACCUUUAAUCAAAACCAACCAUAAAAAAGAAAACCCACAAAAACCACCCCAAAAACGUGAAGAUUUGCUGAAAAAGAACAAAACAACCCAAAAAAAACCCCAUAAUUACGACAACGACCCCAAAAUCGCCUUUUUUCACCCCAAAACGACGCCGUUUUCUCCUCAAGCUUCCAUCCAAAUCAUAGGAAACGUCCCAGGCUCGUCCUUCUCAGCCAAUCCUUUCCAAUUAACGCCUCCUAGAAACCAAAAUUAAUUACCAAAAUCCUCAUUUUUUGCUUCAAAACCGCCCCGUUAACAAAAAUCGCCAUUUUCGGGCGGUUUUUUGACCCAAAAUCGGCCUUUUUUCACCCACCUCUCCGCCGUCGACAGUAGCAGAGCAGAGCAAUGGAAGCCAAGAGCAGCACAGCAGCUCCAGCCACUCCGCAGCCCAAAGCGAUGGACGGAAAUUUGCCUUUUUUACCCCAAAAUGAAGCCGCGUCAGCGCGGCCCCAAAAUCCGCCUUUUUCACCCCAAAAAUCCCCCCUUUCCACCCCAAAUCUCCCCAUUUUCCACUCAAAUUCACCCUUUUUGCCCUAAGUCACCAUUUUUCACCCCAAAAUCCCAAUUUUUUGCCCCCAAAUCCCCAUUUUUUA
ensembl:lncRNA